GGGGAUGUGGCUCAGUGGUAGAGUGCUUGCUUAACAUGCAUGAGGCCAUGGGGUUCAUUCCCC
rnacentral:tRNA from 1 species